AUGGCGCCUAGGAAUGUCUACACAGGAGAAGGAGGGAGCUCAGUCAUAUCCACGGAUCUAAGCCAUGGCAAUGUUGAAUCAGGCGAAUCUCUUCAGCCCGUCCAACCUACGGCCGAUGUACCUCCAGAAGAGAUUCCGCAUCCAGAGUUCUUCGGCAUAGAUACUUCCUAUCCACAUAGGUGCCAUCACAAAAUGUGUCCAGCAAGAAAAGUGGCUUUCGUCUACACGGCCACAGGCAGGAGGUUCCUUGGAUGCCCUCUCUCGGGACCUGAUAGGUGCUCCUGGUUCAUGUGGAUAGAUGAAGCAUGGGGUCCUGUACUUAGCCGUUCAUUAAUACAACUUUGGGAUCAGGCUCUCCUGGACUCUGGAGGAGCAGCAAGGUUGCAGACAAAGAAAAAGGUAAUGGAGCAAGCAUACUUAGAGUUGUGGACUGAGAGGAGCAAUAAGGAGAUUGAAAACCAGCAGGUGGUCAACAAGUUGAAGACCACAAUACUCGACACUGAGAUUAAGAUGUCAAGGAGGUUAGCUGAAGACCACUGCCAACAUAUAGUGUAUUGUUUCCGAUUAUGA
rnacentral:rRNA from 1 species